CCAGUGGCGACUCGUCCCAGUCCAGUUUCAUUUCUUGAACACUGUUAGUCCCUGGAGGAGAGGAUUCACCUUUCGAACACCAGUGGACACUCCUGAACAUCGAACGGAAAUUUUUCAAGUCUCAAUCCGCAAUUCAGAGUAACUUCAAGCCUGAAAGUGAAAUCAUCAUUUGAUCCUCAAAAUGUAAAACAAAGUCUGUUCUCCGGAAAUUAAAUUAAGAACAUCACUCGGAAUUAAUGAGUCAUCUAUAAGAAUUAAAAAUAAAUAAAGUAAUUGUCAUCGAAA